GACGAACGCUGGCGGCGUGCCUAAUACAUGCAAGUCGAGCGCAGGAAAUCGACGGAACCCUUCGGGGGGAAGUCGACGGAAUGAGCGGCGGACGGGUGAGUAACACGUAAAGAACCUGCCCUCAGGUCUGGGAUAACCACGAGAAAUCGGGGCUAACACCGGAUGGGUCAUCGGACCGCAUGGUCCGAGGAUGAAAGGCGCUUCGGCGUCGCCUGGGGAUGGCUUUGCGGUGCAUUAGCUAGUUGGUGGGGUAAUGGCCCACCAAGGCGACUAUGAAUAGCCGACCUGAGAGGUGGAUCGGCGACACUGGGACUGAGACACGGCCCAGACUCCUACGGGAGGCAGCAGUAGGGAAUCUUCCACAAUGGACGAAAGUCUGAUGGAGCAACGCCGCGUGAACGAUGAAGGCCUUCGGGUCGUAAAGUUCUGUUGUAAGGGAAGAACAAGUGCCGCAGGCAAUGGCGGCACCUUGACGGUACCUUGCGAGAAAGCCACGGCUAACUACGUGCCAGCCGCCGCAGUAA
rnacentral:rRNA from 1 species